GUAAAAUAGACACCCUGGGCUGCCUAGGAUUUGUGUUUUGUACUCGUUCGGGAUUCAGGCUGUAUAUGAGUUAGUGAGGACUGAAGAGAGGAGAGUUAAACAAACAAGCAAACAAACAAACACACAGGGCAAGAAAACAGGACCCAACAGCAGACGCUGACACCCUCCCGACCUGCAGUGCAGAGUGAUUCCAAGAACCGCGCGCGACAUUCCGUGUCUCAGGAAAGAUGGUCUAAAUCAAGCAGUGCUUAGAGCCUCCCACAACGGGCCUUCAACCAUAUUUGGAAGAAAAGAAGGAAUCCAGAGAGGAAAUGGUUACCUGUGCUUACAGGCGGUCUGCACCACAAGCGCUGACUCAGCAAGAGGGAACUCUGCGUACCCCUGUCCCGAAAGCCCCUUGAGCAAGGACGUCAGAAAGAGACUAAAAUGGAGGGACAGCCUCCGAGGGCCCUGGAGCAGGGUAACAUGAGAUCUAUGACUAUCUAGUCAUUCGCUACCUGCAUUUGAAAGCAUAUGCAUUAUUAUGGUUGUCACCAUUUAUAGUAGUAUACUUAGACGUUGUCCAUCGAAUCUGGACGCAUACUCAAUUUGAAACUAAAUAAAACCUAAAGGAACAUAGGUGACCAUGAGGGACUCCAGGGAACAUUCUCUGGGACGGAACUCUGUGAAGAGUGGAGAAGAGGCCUCUAGGAUCAAGCUAUUCAUCAUGGAUACAGCCUCAGAUCCAGGACCUCCACCCUCUGGUGCAGUAUUUCCAGGAUAUUAGUGGGGGACUGUGGACCAUUCAAGCCUUGGAACAAGUCUAGCCCAACCACUGUCUAACUUUGCUGCUGACGGAAGCCUGACCCAGCCCUGACCUCGUAGACCUUAUAGGAAUAUGUUCUCAGCUCACUGCUCCACAUUUCUGGCCCUGUGACCUCACCAAACAAACACCUGCCUAUCUCAGAGCAUUGUAUCUAUUCAUGUUGAUUUCUGUCUCUUCCUUAUUAGUCUCUUGCACAAACCAUGAACUGGAUGAAAGCAAGAACGGGAUCGUUUGGGUUCUGUGGGUGACAUCAGGACUUGACUGUGGACUUGACUUGCAUCUGGCACAGCCUGCUCGCCAGCUCCUAUUCCCUUGCCCACCUGUUCUUUGACCUUGAACGCCCAACCCCUUUUUCUUGGCAUCAGUAUCGUCCUCUCUAAGAGCAGAGAUUAGGAUUAAUAAAUCUAUGACGUGCUUGUCACAGGGACUAAUGAGACUGUACUUAA
rnacentral:lncRNA from 1 species